rnacentral:rRNA from 1 species
GACGAACGCUGGCGGCGUGCUUAACACAUGCAAGUCGAACGGGGAUACAAGGGAGCUUGCUCCUGAGUAUUCUAGCGGCGGACGGGUGAGUAACGCGUGAGCAACCUUUCUCUCAGUGGGGAAUAACACAGGGAAACUUGUACUAAUACCACAUGAGACCACAGAACCGCAUGGUUUAGGGGUCAAAGAUUUAUUGCUGAGAGGUGGGCUCGCGUCUGAUUAGGUAGUUGGUGAGGUAACGGCCCACCAAGCCGACGAUCAGUAGCCGACCUGAGAGGGUGAUCGGCCACAUUGGGACUGAGACACGGCCCAA